UGACAUAACCAAACCUGUGCUCACAGCUGGGAAAUGCUGCCUCCUGUCCCCGAAGGGGCAGCACCUGAACCCCACCUGAAGAGACACCAAGGGCUGGGGGUUCCCUGUGCCCCCGUUCUUACCUCUCCCCGAACAGAGUUACCACGACUGCAAAACUCCCAAUGCAGCAUCAAGAACCGAGGUCCCCCCCAACCCUGG